rnacentral:rRNA from 1 species
UACGUGAGGUGCAAGCGUUGAUCCGGAAUUUGUGGCGUAAAGGAGCUACGUAGGCGGUUCGUGGUUCGAUGUCGGACCUUGGUGAAAACCUGGGGACCUGCAACCCCGGGCCCUGCAACCGAUAACGGGGCAAGACUAGAAUUUCGGUAGGGGGAGACUGGAAUUCCUGGUGUAGCGGUGGAAUGCGCAGAUAUCAGGAGGAACACCGGUGGCGAAGGCGGGUCUCUGGGCCGACAUUACGCUGAGGAGCGAAAGCGUGGGGAGCGAACAGG